rnacentral:rRNA from 1 species
CAAUAGCGUAUAUUUAAGUUGCUGCAGUUAAAAAGCUCGUAGUUGGAUUUCGGGUGGGAAUGGCCGGUCCGCCGUUUCGGUGUGCACUUGCUACGCCCACCUUGCUGCCGGGGACGUGCUCUUGAGUUCACGCUCGGGACACGGAGUCGGCGAGGUUACUUUGAGUAAAUUAGAGUGUUCAAAGCAGGCCUACGCUCUGAAUACAUUAGCAUGGAAUAACACGAUAGGACUCUGGCCUAUCUUGUUGGUCUGUAGGACCGGAGUAAUGAUUAAGAGGGACAGUCGGGGGCAUUCGUAUUUCAUUGUCAGAGGUGAAAUUCUUGGAUUUAUGAAAGACGAACUACUGCGAAAGCAUCUGCCAUGGAUGUUUUCAUUAA